rnacentral:misc_RNA from 1 species
GGCCAACCUAGAAAAUUAUGUGCAAGAGAGGGUGCCUGAAGGAAAAAUAAUUGCCAUGAAGACUGGACAAACAAAUAAAGAAAAUCUACAACGUCUACUGAUCUUCCAACCUCUAUGUUGUACCAAACUUGGAGAAGAGCCAAAUCUUGGAACUAAAUGUAAACAGCAAUACUCGACCCCAAAUGAGAAUAUGGAUCAAAGCCUUCCUACAAAU